rnacentral:sRNA from 1 species
GUGAAAGGUGCUGUGACCGUCCUCCCGGUUGUGGCUGGUGGCCUUCGGUGUUUCGGGUUUGGCAGUUCACUCACCAAGGUGAUCUGAUGGAGUGCACUUCGCACGAUUCCAAGUACUUGCCUAAUGUUCAUCCUUUCCUCUAGACGGGGUAGGGCUGGUUCUGGAUCUUUUUCCGCGGUAGCUGGAGAGACGUAGGACCUGAUGGCUACUAGAUGCCUGAGAAGGGAGAAGACAGAGGAGAAUGCCAGAUGAAGACAGAAACAGAGAUUGAAGUUAUGUGGCCAUAAUUCAAGGAUUGCUGGCAACACCAGAAGCCAAGAGAAAGAUGAGGAAGAAUUCUCCCCUAGACCUUUCAGAAGGAGCGUGGCCCAGCCAACACCCUGACUUCAGACUUCUGGCCUCCAGAACUCAGCCUCCUGGCCGGGGAUAGCCAAUAGCCCCAGCCCACUGAAAGCCUGGUGAGCAGAAAGGGAAGAGAAACAAGGGUGUGCAUUCACUGGUAGGAUGUGUUUCCUGAACGGCUCCUGCUCCUGCUGGACAAGCCCACGGAGGGCCCAGCUUCCAACAGACUAUGCUCCAGGAAGCCCAGGUGUUUCGAGGACUUGCUUCUACGGUUUCUUUGUCUGCGGAAUCAGGGAAGAGUGAAAAGGGUCAGCCACAGAAUUCCAAGAAGCAAAGUCCACCAAAAAAUGUAGUGGAACCAAAGGAGAGGGGCAAGCUCCUAGCCACCCAGACAGCAGCUGAAUUGUCUAAAAACUUAUCUUCACCCAGUUCUUACCCGCCAGCUGUGAAUAAGGGCAGGAAGGUAGCUAGUCCCAGUCCCAGUGGCAGCGUGCUAUUCACAGAUGAAGGGGUUCCGAAAUUUUUGUCAAGAAAGACUUUGGUAGAGUUUCCACAGAAAGUUCUGUCUCCAUUCAGAAAACAGGGCUCUGAUUCAGAAGCUCGUCAGGUGGGUCGGAAAGUGACGUCGCCUUCGUCUUCAUCCUCGUCCAGCUCCUCUGAUUCUGAAUCUGAUGAUGAGGCUGAUGUUUCAGAGGUCACUCCUCGAGUGGUGAGCAAAGGCAGAGGGGGGUUUCGAAAACCAGAGGCCUCUCAUUCCUUUGAAAACAGAGCCCCCCGAGUUACAGUAUCAGCAAAAGAGAAAACCUUGCUGCAGAAGCCGCAUGUGGACAUCACUGAUCCAGAGAAGCCCCACCAGCCAAAGAAGAAAGGGUCCCCUGCUAAGCCAUCAGAAGGCAGGGAAAAUGCGAGACCAAAAACCACAAUGCCCAGAUCUCAAGUAGAUGAAGAGUUUUUGAAGCAAAGUUUAAAGGAAAAACAAUUGCAGAAAACAUUUAGAUUAAAUGAAAUAGAUAAAGAAAGCCAAAAGCCAUUUGAAGUUAAAGGACCCUUACCUGUCCACACAAAAUCAGGGUUGUCUGCGCCACCGAAGGGCAGCCCAGCGCCUGCUGUGUUGGCAGAAGAGGCCAGAGCAGAGGGGCAGCUGCAAACCAGUCCUCCUGGGGCGGCAGAGGGGCAUCUGGAAAAACCCGUGCCAGAGCCCCAGCGCAAGGCAGCCCCUCCCCUGCCCAGAAAGGAAACCUCAGGGACGCAGGGAAUAGAAGGGCACCUGAAGGGUGGAGAGGCAAUCGUGGAAGAUCAGAUACCACCAAGCAAUUUGGAGACAGUUCCUGUUGAGAAUAACCAUGGUUUCCAUGAAAAGACAGCAGCGCCGAAGCUUGAGGCCGAGGGCGAGGCCAUGGAAGAUGCAGCCGCGCCAGGGGACGACCGAGGCGGCACACAGGAGCCAGCCCCAGUGCCUGCCGAGCCGUUUGACAACACUACCUACAAGAACCUGCAGCAUCAUGACUACAGCACGUACACCUUCUUAGACCUCAACCUCGAACUCUCAAAAUUCAGGAUGCCUCAGCCCUCCUCAGGCCGGGAGUCACCUCGACACUGAGGGCCCUCGGUGUGAAGAUGAACCUUCCACCGUCUUCACUGCAUCCUGGAGUGCAAAAAUAAAAUCCACUCAAGAGUCACAAGG